rnacentral:rRNA from 1 species
GACAGAGGGUGCAAACGUUGUUCGGAAUUACUGGGCGUAAAGCGCGUGUAGGCGGCUCGGAAAGUCGGGUGUGAAAGCCCUGGGCUUAACCCAGGAAGUGCACUCGAAACUUCCGAGCUGGAGUCCUGGAGAGGAAGGCGGAAUUCUCGGUGUAGAGGUGAAAUUCGUAGAUAUCGAGAGGAACACCGGUGGCGAAGGCGGCCUUCUGGACAGUGACUGACGCUGAGACGCGAAAGCGUGGGGAGCAAACGGG